GAGCUGGGUUUAGAACGUCGUGAGACAGUUCGGUCCCUAUCUGCCGUGGGCGUUGGAAACUUGAGGGGAGCUUCUCCUAGUACGAGAGGACCGGAGUGGACGUACCUCUGGUGUUCCGGUUGUCACGCCAGUGGCAUUGCCGGGUAGCUAUGUACGGAAGGGAUAACCGCUGAAAGCAUCUAAGCGGGAAGCCCACCCCAAGAUUAGGUUUCCCGGAUCUUCGGAUCCCUGAAGGGCCCUUGAAGACUACAAGGUUGAUAGGCUGGGUGUGGAAGCGCGGCAACGCGUGAAGCUAACCAGUACUAAUUGCCCGUGCGGCUUAAACCG
rnacentral:rRNA from 1 species